UGAAUUUCUAGACUAACUUGCCUAAAAUUGGAACGUACAGAAAAGAUUAACAUAAACCCUGUGCAAUACUGACAUGUAAGUUUAUGAAACAUCCCAAAUUUUU
rnacentral:snRNA from 1 species